UGGGCCCAGAUUCACUAACGCCUCGCAGAUACGACAAUCUUAAGUGGAUCCAAUAUGGCGGAAAUAAGAAUGUCGUAUCUUGCGAUUCCCAAAAGAAUCUUAAGUCCGCCAUGUUUAGAUUUUCCUGCCUUAACGCUGUUUCACACUCCCGCCGACAGACGGCGUAGUAUGAUGUUGACAUAUUUCGUUCAACCAAUGGCAGCGCUCGAUACAUACGUACUCUAGAGACAGUAGCCAAUCACAGGAACCUCAACACCAGUGCAGCAUGUGGCCCGUGACAGAGGCAGACGAUGUUGUCUGCCCCACCGGGAGUACGGAGAUGAAGUGAGGAAGUUCAGGAGACUGAGUGUAACCUGUAAGUGUAGUGGGUGCUACAACACCUAGCAGCCCAUAUGUCCCAGCAGUGGUGCAGCGUCGGACCCUUAAACUUCCAGGCAGGAGACACAAGAUAAAAGAUUCUGAAGAAGCAAGACCAAGCAUAUAUUACUGGAUAGUUUGCAGAAAUGUGUAGAUUUCCUUGAAUCGUCUCAACCAGAAUGACUGCAAUAGCUGGACCUUUACAGGACUUUGUUGAAUAUUGCAGGGCAUGAAAUUCUGUAUUUCUUAUGCAUCACUAAAGGUCUCUUUUGAUUUCUUCAAACAUGUUUUGUAUUUGCAAUUUAUUUAAUUGUUUUCUGUUGGAAAUAACAUAUAAAAAAGAUGUUUAAUAGCAAGCUGUGAAGAAUUGCUCCAAAUAGUACACACCACGGUGCUAUAUGCUUUACAUUUUAUUAAGUGUAUAAUAAGCUCAGCCAUAUUGUCCUGCAGUUAAUUUUUAGUCAGACAAUUUCUCCCCUUUUUUUACAAUUUAAGUUGUGAUUGUGUUCAUGUAUACCAGCAGUUCUUUCUUUAAUUAUAUUAGUAAAGAAGUUUUUAUUAUAUAUAUGAAGUCAGAUUAAGUGACUUUCAAAAGCAAUAUAAUUAAGUCCAUUUAGCCUGUGUCACUCUCAAAGUUAUACGCCUCCGUGGUCUACUGGUUAGCGUGCCUGGCUUCUACUCCGCAGGCCCGGGUUCGAAUCCCGGCCCAGGCAGUCUGCGUGCAGCUCACCCAGCUGUUCAUCCUCCCUCUUGGGCUGGUCGAUAAAUGGAUACCUGGGGAAAUCUGGGGAAGGUAAUCUGUGGUAACCCAGAUAUUACACUGGCCCUGUGUCCCAAGGUAAUGGGGGCUCCCUUCCACCACAGUCUCAAGGGUCAAUGUUACGGAGAUGAGCACCGAGGCCAUGCGCUGCUACUACGUAUCCCCCCAACUUUACUACUCUUACUCUCAAAGUAUAUAAUUGUGUGUUUGUGUGUAUGUGAGUGUGUGUGUGUGUCACAUCCUGGAAAGCCCAAGACUUCUUUCAAAACUCUGAUGACUCGAGAAAGAGUCUGGCUUCCAGCUAUAUCUUGAGAGCCAACAGUCAUCGUGGAAAUUUUCUAGGUAUAGUGGAAUGUGUUUUGACAGUGGGCAGUGCCAUUGUCUUUGAAGAACUCUACCGAGUUCUUAACGAAACACACCCAUACACCAAUUUGCUCGAUGAUUUCCUUUAUUUUAUUGCCAGUACACUAUUUAACACAUUUAAAUAUUUAAUAAUGUAUAUAUCAAUGCCCACUUUUUCAUUAUGUUCUCAACUUGUGCCAGCAACAUAUGAGUCAGUACUUUAGUAAGGUUAGGUUACAUAAAUGAAAAAAGUGCAUAUUUGAGUUAAAAACAGAAACAUUAUUUUCUUGUCAAUACCCAAAAAAUAACUUGAAUUUCAAGGAGAAAGAUUUUUUUUAUAGUCUAUGGACAAAGAACCUUUAUUUUCUGGUUUUAAUGUUGUGCUAUAAGUAGAAAAUGAAGUAAUUAUAUAUUUUUCACUUAACAUGAAAUAAAUAUCAAUAUAUAUAAA